CCUCCCUCCCAGGCCCUCCUACUUCCUGGACAGCAUCCAUGUUGAAGGCAGCUGGAUGCUGUCCAGGAGGUGGGAGGGCCUGGGAGGGAGGGUCUGCUG